ensembl:lncRNA
UGGGGGGUUCAGCCUUGCUCAGCCGCGGCAGGUGGACGCCAAGGCCGCCGCCUUCCCUCCAAACACUUCCGCCUCAGCUCCAGCCUCGACCGGCUCCACGUUGGCAGGGCUGACCAACUGCCAGGCGGAAAAAAAAAGGGGGGGGGGAGAAGCGGGCGCGACGUUUACGCGCUCACACCGAGGAGACGCGGACGAGCCUCGCAGGCUUCCGUACCGCCUCUGGUGGACAGAGGGCGCGCGAGCGCCGCAGGCCGCGGAGGGAUGGAAGGGGCUGGAAGAGCGGACCAAGGGGACAAAAAAAUAGGGGAGGCGCGGCGGCGGCGGCUCCGUAACCGCAGAAAGCUUAAAGCCCGAACCGUUUGUGUAAUAUGAAAUGGCUCAUCUUCUGUUAUACAAUAUGUUUGUGGUGGCCCGUUUAGCCCCACGCAGUUGUCAGGUUUCAUACCUUCCGCCCCCCCCCGCAUUUAUAAUGGGAUGCUCCUCAACCCCUGUUUGGAAGCACGACGAUGACGGCAUCGGAAAGACUGAGGCUGCGCAGUACCAUGGUGUUUGGUCCGGUUGCAGCCCAGCAGUCUUUAUCUGCAGGGGUGGGGAAGCUGCCCUAUAGCUCCAGCACUUCAAAUGGGAAUUGCCUGCAAAACUGUGUGCACUUCGGGGAGAUGGCGCGAGAUGGCGCUAUAAGCUUCAAACGCCUGCUACUUCAGUACCGUAGAUACUGUACGUGGAAAUGGUUAUGCCACCUCUUCUUCAUCUGAUCUAACUUGCCAUUUUCUUGUCACUUCUAACUGUUGAUAUGCCCCACCAUCUCCAGUGGGUGCCCCGUGCCCAGCAACCGUGCUGGGAGGAGGCUGGGCAUCCACUGGGGGGGCACCGACCUGCAGAUCAACUGUCCAUCUGCGAAACAAACCACCAAACGCUGACCUGCAGAUCAACUGUUCAUCUGGGAAACAAACCACCAAACUAGGGGGUUGUGCCCAUCUCUGCCAGAGACAACGGAGCAGACUUUGUCAGCGUGAGAAAUGGAGAGGAGGAAACAGAGGAUCUUGGAAGAGGAGACUGCUGGGGGGCUAAAACUGGAUGAGCACCCUGUGCGGCAUUUUCUCUCACUUCUGCAUUCGGAAUGGAAAAUACAAAGAAGGGCUCUUCAGGCCUACCUGGAAACUACUUUUUAGCACAACGGACACCCCUUGUAAUCCCAGGUUUAUGAGAAAUGACAACUAGUCUGAGGACAAUGUUUGGUGUGUGUGUGUGUCAAGGAAUAGAUAAUAAGCACAGAGUUGUUGUGGGUUUUUCGGGCUCUUUGACCGUGUUCUGAAGGUGGUUCUUCCUAACGUUUCGCCAGUCUCUGUGGCCGGCAUCUUCAGAGGACUGGAGUAGGAACUCUGUCCAUGCUCUGUUGAUGUUUGUUGGGUAGUGUUUAUAGCUGUGGGGACAGCUUUUGUCUUUUUUCAGGAGAGAUAGGGUGAUCAGCAUGAUUUUGUUGUGAUGGGGGGGGAGAGGGAGAGAUUAUCUGUCACUGUGAUUGAUGGCUGUUGUUAGCUGGAAGAUCACUGCACAAAAAAUACACCCAUCAAUCACAGUGAUAGAUCUCUUCCC